rnacentral:rRNA from 1 species
UUAAAUUGAAGAGUUUGAUCAUGGCUCAGAUUGAACGCUGGCGGCAGGCCUAACACAUGCAAGUCGAACGGUAACAGGAAGCAGCUUGCUGCUUUGCUGACGAGUGGCGGACGGGUGAGUAAUGUCUGGGAAACUGCCUGAUGGAGGGGGAUAACUACUGGAAACGGUA